rnacentral:rRNA from 1 species
UNCUCUGGCUUAACUGGGGGCUUGCGGUGGGUACGGGCNGGCUUGAGUGCGGUAGGGGAGGCUGGAACUCCUGGUGUAGCGGUGGAAUGCGCAGAUAUCAGGAAGAACACCGGUGGCGAAGGCGGGUCUCUGGGCCGUUACUGACGCUGAGGAGCGAAAGCGUGGGGAGCGAACAGGAUUAGAUACCCUGGUAGUNCACGCCGUAAACGUUGGGCACUAGGUGUGGGGGGCCUUUUCCGGGUUUUCCGCGCCGUAGCUAACGCAUUAAGUGCCCCGCCUGGGGAGUACGGCCGCAAGGCUAAAACUCAAAGGAAUUGACGGGGGCCCGCACAAGCGGCGGAGCAUGCGGAUUAAUUCGAUGCAACGCGAAGAACCUUACCAAGGCUUGACAUGUGCCGGUCGGCUCCGGAGACGGGGUUUCCUCCUUGUGGGGCCGGUUCACAGGUGGUGCAUGGUUGUCGUCAGCUCGUGUCGUGAGAUGUUGGGUUAAGUCCCGCAACGAGCGCAACCCUUGUCUCGUGUUGCCAGCACGUUGUGGUGGGGACUCGCGGGAGACUGCCGGGGUCAACUCGGAGGAAGGUGGGGAUGACGUCAAAUCAUCAUGCCCCUUAUGUCUUGGGCUUCACGCAUGCUACAAUGGCCGGUACAGAGGGCUGCGAUACUGUGAGGUGGAGCGAAUCCCUUAAAGCCGGUCUCAGUUCGGAUCGGUGUCUGCAACUCGACACCGUGAAGUUGGAGUCGCUAGUAAUCGCAGAUCAGCAACGCUGCGGUGAAUACGUUCUCGGGCCUUGUACACACCGCCCGUCACGUCAUGAAAGUCGGCAACAC